GAUGAACGCUGGCGAGAUGCUUUACACAUGCAAGUCAUACGAGAGUUUUUAACUCAAGUGGCGGACGGGUGAGUAACACGUAAGAAUUUACCUUUAGGAGGGGGAUAACAGAGUAUGAAUUUACCUCGGAGAAAUCGCUGCUAAUACCCCAUAUGCUUUCGAGUGAAAUGGAUUUUUCCGCCUAAAGAGAAGCUUGCGCCUGAUUAGCUUGUUGGUAAGGUAAUGGCUUACCAAGGCGACGAUCAGUAUCUGGUUUGAGAGGAUGAUCAGACACACUGGAACUGAGACACGGUCCAGACUCCUACGGGAGGCAGCAGUGGGGAAUUUUCCGCAAUGGGCGAAAGCCUGACGGAGCAAUCUCGCGUGAGGGAUGACGGCCUAUGGGUUGUAAACCUCUUUUUUCAGGGAGGAAUCAAAUGACGUGUACCUGAAGAAUAAGCAUCGGCUAACUCCGUGCCAGCAGCCGCGGUAAG
rnacentral:rRNA from 1 species